UACGGAGGGUGCAAACGUUGCUCGGAAUCAUUGGGCGUAAAGCGCACGUAGGCGGUCUUUUAAGUUGGGCGUGAAAUCCCUCGGCUUAACCAAGGAAGUGUACUCAAAACUGAAAGACUUGAAUACUGGAGAGGGUCGCAGAAUUCUCGGUGUAGAGGUGAAAUUCGUAGAUAUCGGGAGGAAUACCAGUGGCGAAGGCGGCGACCUGGUCAGAUAUUGACGCUGAGGUGCGAAAGCGUGGGGAGCAAACAGG
rnacentral:rRNA from 1 species